rnacentral:lncRNA from 1 species
UUUGGGCUUCUUUGAGUUUGCUGGGUUUGCUACUAGCUAAAAGAAAUGUGUGAACAUAAAACAUUUCCAUAGAAUUUAAUUAUUUGUUUUGCUUUUGUUAUUUUAGAGGAGAAAAUAUUUUUAUAGUGUUGUUUUAAAGAUUAAAUGGAGGUCAUAUAGCAUCACACUAUUUUUAUUUUUUAUUUAUUCCUUGAGCAUUCCAUGCCAAUAUAUUUCCUUCCUCCAACUCCUCCUGGAUUUUUUUCCCAACCAUAUCUACCCAAAUUCAUGUUUGUGUGUUUUUUAAUUAGUAUUUACAUCUCUUAAAACAAGAACUAGUACCAACGACAUAGAGGAAUUUUAAUUCAGCAAUAUGCCUGCUCUGGCCGACACAUCAGAUCACAUCCAAAGACCUUCAAGGUUUGUGUGAUCUGGCUGGAAUGCAGACAUCCCACACGCCUUUAAUCCCUCUGAUGGAACACAGACACUCUCUAAGUACACACCUUAAUCGCAAACAAUAACCUCCAUGCGGGGUCUUGGGUAUGUAGGAAAGAGGAGAGAGGGAGAGAGCCCAAGUCCCUCCAGAUUUCCAGUGCUCUGGGUGGGUGGACGCAGGAGGAUUCCUGGACACUUUCCACGCGGCCCUGGGAGGGUAAGGUGGGCAUCUGGCUGUGUUAGGCCACUGACCCCACACGGAGGGUUGUGGACAAGGGGCAGCCCCAGAAACCAGGCUCUCGACCUCGGACAUCCCACGCUGGAUACGGGGCUGGGGAGCUGAGAACAAAAUAGCCCCCGCGCCCCCCCAAAAUAAGGGAAGAGGGCAGGGAAAGGGGUAGCGCUGGGUGUUACCCUCGAAGGCAAGAGUCCUUAGUCCCAUCCAUGGCUACAGCUUAGGAAGGCCUUCUGGCUGGAGGAGAAAGCCUCUCCCAUCAUUCAAGCAUGACAGGCCUUCAUGAUCAGAAUCAGUCUCUGGUUUUAGAGAUUUAUUGUAGAAAGGCAGGGACAAAGGUGAGAAGGUAGAAAGAGAGAGGGAGAGGCCGGCCAUGGCCAUGAGGGGAGAAGAGGGAAAAGCGAGAGAGAGAAGGAGAGCUAGAGAGUAAGAAAGGUUAAAGAGAGCGAGGAAAGGCCAAACAGCCCCAGUUAUAGUGGGCUUGUUAUCUUGCUGUUGCUAGGUAAUUGUGGGGAGGAGUCUAACGAGAAGGGACAUUGUCUAUGUGACCGAUUGCCACUGCUUCUUCUGUGGGGACUGUGGGGGCUGUAACAUCGACAGGAGCCAGGGGUCCAGGGAACAUGAUCGAAUGCCUUCAGUCCCAUGUAGGUGGAAAUUACCACCACUGGGUCCCACCGGGGUUUAAGACCUCAGCUUGACUUGAGACCAGGCUGUCUGCAUAGCCCAUUGCCCCACACUCUAAUUGAGGGGCAGACCAAGUGACCAAUCAGAGAAAAAAUUGACAGAAUGAAUCAGAGAUUGGAUAUUCCCAAGUCCCAUAAGAACAGGCAGGAAAGAGAGGCUACUUAAGAGCCCUGCAGAGAGUCAGAGAAGAGGGCAGUUCAGUGGGUGCAGUUGAGCUAAGCUCAGGCAAUGCAGGAGAGUUCAGUUUGGUUUGGUUCUGAGCCAUUGUUCAGUUGAAUGCAGUCAGUGCAGUUCAGUUCGUGGAAAUCAGAGGCAGUUUUUUUCUAGCAGAACAAUUCCUUCAGAACCCCCCCAAAAACCAACAACAAAAAACAAACAAACCAACAAACAAACAAACAAACAAACAAAAAACUAAUUUGAAUCAGUAAGCUUGGAAAGGAGUUUCGACAGAACAGCUGAGUUGAACCAGCCAAGUGGAGUUCAAAAUGAGCUAGAAAGGGUGAAUUUAAUCAGCUGGACACCUCCAAGAUAACAGUUAUAGCUGGUGAAUAAAACAUACAUUUACACAAUGCAGGGAAAAAGCGCGCGCGCGCGCGCGCACACACACACACACACACACACACACACACACACAAAAUGCCACAGGGAAUAAUUUGUGUUGACCAACUACUCCAGAGCAUGAGAUCUGGCCUACAGUAUGGUAGAUAGAGCCAAUGUCACCCCAGAAAAGAAAACCGAUUUUCCCUCUCAACAGGAGUUAUCCAUUCCUCAUUGCUUCUUAGCUGGUGGUAAGACUUGUGACCACAUUCCAUUCCCCAGGCUGGGAUUUUGACUGGCUUGAAUUUGUGGAGGUUUUGUGUAUCGUGUUACCACCUCUGUAUAUUCUAGUGUGGAUCACCCUGUUAUGUCACAAAACACCACAUUCCACAUUCGUGUGUCACAGACCAUGAAGACAUGGAAACUUCAUCAGUAUUGAGUGGAGUUUAUAGUGCUUAAGUGGAUAUCCAUACUACCAAAGUUAAACAUAAUCAUCGAUCUCACCCAGCAACAAAGCCCUUAAAAAACAAUAGUAACCUGCUGUGAGAUACAACAGUGCAGAAGUGGCAAACAUGUUACAGGAGUGAACAACCACUGAUAGGAUAAAGGAACACUCCACAAGACAUAAGAUGUCUGUAGUACCCAAGACCAUUGAUGAGGCCAAGAAAUCUGAUUCUAGGUAGGUCAAAAUCUUAGAUGGAAGCCCAUUAUUAUUAUUCUACUGGAUGAAGAUAUAAUGAAAUAAUUCCGAGUGGCCUAUUGCUGUAGCCAUAGAUCAGUUCAUGACACUACACUCAUUAUUAUAGAAAGUUCUUCUUGUAGUAGAUAGAAACAUGGAGACA